GGCGUGCACAGGUGCACAGGGUUUGAAGCCAGGCCAGGGUAGGCAUUAGUUAGGUAGGAAUCUGUUCACUGGCAGGACAUAAUGAAAAAUAUGCAUUGAGCUAUUUCAACCGAGGUAAGCAGUGCAUUUAUGCCUCUAUAACCUCCACGCCACUGGGUACAUUGAAUUUUGAAAUC